rnacentral:rRNA from 1 species
UACGAGGGGGGCAAGCGUUGUUCGGAAUUAUUGGGCGUAAAGGGUGCGUAGGCGGUUUGGUAAGUCUUAUGUGAAAUCUACAGGCUCAACUUGUAGUCUGCAUGAGAAACUGCCGGGCUUGAGUAUGGGAGAGGUGAGUGGAAUUCCUGGUGUAGCGGUGAAAUGCGUAGAUAUCUGCAGGAACACCCGUGGCGAAGGCGGCUGACUGGAUCGCAACUGACACUGAGGAGCGAAAGCGUGGGGAGCGAACAGG